AAGGAAUUAACUAUGGGGAUCACUAUAUUGAGGAAUGCAGAAACCAAAUUCUGGCCAAGGUAGAUAUUCCAGCAGCAGGUGCCACAGUGACCUCUAGAUAUCAAAUAAGCACAUUGCUCCUGAAAACAAAAACUACAGCUAGCAGUUUGGAGACCCCAGGUUUUGUCAGAGCAAGGACUUCAGGACCAGGCUCUGAGUAGAACUGCAUUAGGAUUUGGCACUGCAUUAAGGAGCACUGGAUGGUGGAAGAUGUGAGACAGCAAGGGGCUCAAAGACAGGACCACAGGCAGCAUCCUCUGUGUGUGUAAGAUCCAGA